CCCUUAGAUGUCCUGGGCCGCACGCGCGUUACACUGAUGCAUUCAACGAGCUUAUAACCUUGGCCGAGAGGCCCGGGCAAUCUUGUUAACGUGCAUCGUGAUAGGGAUAGAUUAUUGAAAUUAUUAAUCUUGAACGAGGAAUUCCUAGUAAACGCAGAUCAUCAAUCUGCAUUGAUUACGUCCCUGCCCUUUGUACACACCGCCCGUCGCACCUACCGAUUGGAUGGUCCGGUGAAGCCUCGGGAUUGUGGUUCUUGCCGCUUUAUUGUGGCGUGACCGCGAGAACUUGUCUAAACCUUAUCAUCUAGAGGAAGGUGAAGGCGUAACA
rnacentral:rRNA from 1 species